rnacentral:rRNA from 1 species
AGAUUGAACGCUGGCGGCAUGCCUUACACAUGCAAGUCGAACGGCAGCACGGGAGCAAUCCUGGUGGCGAGUGGCGAACGGGUGAGUAAUAUAUCGGAACGUGCCCAGUCGUGGGGGAUAACGUAGAGAAAUUUACGCUAAUACCGCAUACGAUCUAAGGAUGAAAGCGGGGGACCUUCGGGCCUCGCGCGAUUGGAGCGGCUGAUAUCAGAUUAGGUUGUUGGUGAGGUUAAAAGCUCACCAAGCCGACGAUCUGUAGCUGGUUUGAGAGAACGACCAGCCACACUGGGACUGAGACACGGCCCAGACUCCUACGGGAGGCAGCAGUGGGAAUUUUGGACAAUGGGCGAAAGCCUGAUCCAGCAAUGCCGCGUGCAGGAAGAAGGCCUUCGGUGUAACUGCUUUUGUACGGAACGAAAGGUCUGCCCUAAGUACGGUGGCCCAGUGACGUACCGUAAGAAUAAGCGACCGCUAACUACGUGCCAGCAGCCG